rnacentral:rRNA from 1 species
GACGAACGCUGGCGGCGUGCUUAACACAUGCAAGUCGAACGAAGUGGCGAACGGGUGAGUAACGCGUAAUCAACCUGCCCUUCGGUGGGGGACAACAGUUGGAAACGACUGCUAAUACCGCAUACUGAAGGAGGGGAUUGCGUCUGGUUAGCUGGUUGGGGGGGUAACGGCCCACCAAGGCGAUGACCAGUAGCCGGGCUGGGAGGAUGAACGGCCACAUUGGGAAUGGGGCACGGCCCAGACUCCUAAGGGGAGCAGCAGGGGGGGAUCUUCCGAAAUGGACGAAAGUCUGACGGAGCAACGCCGCGGGAGUGAUGACGGCCUUCGGGUUGUAAAGCUCUGUUAAUCGGGACGCGGUACCGGAAUAGAAAGCCACGGCUAACUACGUGCCAGCCGCCGCGGUAAUAC